GCUCUUGUGGCGUAGUGGUAGCGCGUCGCACUUGUACCCAGGUUUGGUGGCAUGCGAAGGUCACUCGUUCAAUCCGGGUCGGGAGCA